rnacentral:rRNA from 1 species
GUACACUCCUGCGGGAGGCAGCAGUGGGGAAUAUUGGACAAUGGGCGCAAGCCUGAUCCAGCCAUGCCGCGUGAGUGAUGAAGGCCCUAGGGUUGUAAAGCUCUUUCACCGGUGAAGAUAAUGACGGUAACCGGAGAAGAAGCCCCGGCUAACUUCGUGCCAGCAGCCGCGGUAAUACGAAGGGGGCUAGCGUUGUUCGGAUUUACUGGGCGUAAAGCGCACGUAGGCGGACUAUUAAGUCAGGGGUGAAAUCCCGGGGCUCAACCCCGGAACUGCCUUUGAUACUGGUAGUCUUGAGUUCGAGAGAUGUGAGUGGAAUUCCGAGUGUAGAGGUGAAAUUCGUAGAUAUUCGGAGGAACACCAGUGGCGAAGGCGGCUCACUGGCUCGAUACUGACGCUGAGGUGCGAAAGCGUGGGGAGCAAACAGGAUUAGAAACCCCAGUAGUCCCA